UAGAGUUUGAUCAUGGCUCAAAUUGAACGCUGGCGGAAUGCUUUACACAUGCAAGUCGAACGGCAGCACGGACUUCGGUCUGGUGGCGAGUGGCGAACGGGUGAGUAAUGCAUCGGAACGUGCCCAAUCGUGGGGGAUAACGUAGCGAAAGUUACGCUAAUACCGCAUACGAUCUAAGGAUGAAAGCGGGGGAUCGCAAGACCUCGCGCGAAUGGAGCGGCCGAUGUUAGAUUAGGUAGUUGGUGGGGUAAAGGCUCACCAAGCCGACGAUCUAUAGCUGGUCUGAGAGGAUGAUCAGCCACACUGGGACUGAGACACGGCCCAAACUCCUACGGGAGGCAGCAGUGGGGAAUUUUGGACAAUGGGCGCAAGCCUGAUCCAGCCAUUCCGCGUGCAGGAUGAAGGCCCUCGGGUUGUAAACUGCUUUUGUACAGAACGAAAAGCUCUGGGUUAAUACCCUGGGGUCAUGACGGUACUGUAAGAAUAAGCACCGGCUAACUACGUGCCAGCAGCCGCGGUAAUACGUAGGGUGCAAGCGUUAAUCGGAUUUACUGGGCGUAAAGCGUGCGCAGGCGGUUAUGUAAGACAGAGGUGAAAUCCCCGGGCUCACCUGGGAACUGCCUUUGUGACUGCAUCUAGAGUACGGCAGAGGGGGAUGGAAUUCCGCGUGUAGCAGUGAAAUGCGUAGAUAUGCGGAGGAACACGAUGGCGAAGGCAAUCCCUGGGCCUGUACUGACGCUCAUGCACGAAAGCGUGGGGAGCAACAGGAUUAGAUACCCCGGUAGUCCACGCCCUAAACGAUGUCAAC
rnacentral:rRNA from 1 species